rnacentral:rRNA from 1 species
AUUGAACGCUGGCGGCAUGCUUUACACAUGCAAGUCGAACGGCAGCACGGGCUUCGGCCUGGUGGCGAGUGGCGAACGGGUGAGUAAUGCAUCGGAACGUACCGUGUAAUGGGGGAUAACGUAGCGAAAGUUACGCUAAUACCGCAUACGCCCUGAGGGGGAAAGCGGGGGAUCGUAAGACCUCGCGUUAUACGAGCGGCCGAUGUCGGAUUAGCUAGUUGGUGGGGUAAAGGCCUACCAAGGCGACGAUCCGUAGCGGGUCUGAGAGGAUGAUCCGCCACACUGGGACUGAGACACGGCCCAGACUCCUACGGGAGGCAGCAGUGGGGAAUUUUGGACAAUGGGCGCAAGCCUGAUCCAGCCAUGCCGCGUGAGUGAAGAAGGCCUCGGUUGUAAGCUACUUCUAGACGGAAGAAAUACGCGCGCGUCUAACAUAGACGCGUGGAUGACGGUACCGUAAGAAGAAGCACCGGCUAACUACGUGCCAGCAG